GUGUAGGGGUCUGAAUGCUUAUACACAUGUAUAUAUCCCUGACUCAGCCCAUCAUCUAUUCCUCCCAUCUCCCUUAUUCACACGUUCAUUUGGUUACUCAGCCAUUCACCUACCAUCUGACUGCACAAAGAUAAAUCUCUGUUCUCUCCGUCCCCCAAUGUCGUCCAUCACCAAGUCCUAGCCAUUGACCUAAAUGUCUCUCGGUCCAUCUGCUUCUUUACUUUGCACCCCUCCCCCUAACUCCGUGCUCCUGUCCUCCUGCUAGAUGACCGCACGCCUUCCCUUGUCCUCCCUGAUCCGCUCUGGCCCCUCACCAGUCCUUUUUCCAGGAGCCAACCAGAGUGGCUUUUAAAAGCAACUCAUGUCACUCCUUGUGUAGCUCCCCAUUGCCCUUAGGGACCAAGUCGAAACUCUUCCUCCAGACCAGCAAGGCCCUGUGUGGUUUGUCCCUGCCCGCUUCUCCAUCCUCGCUUCAUAAUAGGAACCCAUCCUCUCCCUCUGCUUCUAAAGAUACCUUCUAUCCAAAUACACGGGGCUUCCUUCUGAAAGUAAGCUUGGAAAGCCUUCAAUGCCGUGCCCCCUAGUAAACACAGCUCAAUGAACGUCCCAGGCGCUGGCCGUUCCUAUUGCUCCUCCCCCUCGUGGAAGAAAGAAGAAGAAGAAAGGGUGUAAGUGUUCACUCCCCCUUCCCCUUCCUGCUUCCCCAGCGGGGAGGAACACGAGAGCCCCUCUUCUCUGAAAGUGGGGACAGGUGGCAGGGCUUCCUGCAAAGGCUGAGAUGAGAAUACUCAUACACUCAGACUCAGAAACCCGAGUUAAGUGAGAAACUGACUAAGUCUGGCUUUCUAAGAAUUAGGAUAGUAGUACCUAUUUCCAAAUGCGUGCUGUGCAAGUGGCUUUUUAAAAAAACCCCAAAAAAACCA